rnacentral:rRNA from 1 species
AUUGAACGCUGGCGGCAUGCCUUACACAUGCAAGUCGAACGGCAGCACGGGAGCAAUCCUGGUGGCGAGUGGCGAACGGGUGAGUAAUACAUCAGAACGUGCCCAGUAGUGGGGGAUAACCCGGCGAAAGCCGGACUAAUACCGCAUACGACCUACGGGUGAAAGCGGGGGAUCGCAAGACCUCGCGCUAUCGGAGCGGCCGAUGUCAGAUUAGCUAGUUGGUGGGGUAAAGGCCUACCAAGGCGACGAUCUGUAGCUGGUCUGAGAGGACGACCAGCCACACUGGGACUGAGACACGGCCCAGACUCCUACGGGAGGCAGCAGUGGGGAAUUUUGGACAAUGGGCGCAAGCCUGAUCCAGCCAUGCCGCGUGCGGGAAGAAGGCCUUCGGGUUGUAAACCGCUUUUGUCAGGGAAGAAACGCUCCGGGCUAAUACCACGGAGUAAUGACGGUACCUGAAGAAUAAGCACCGGCUAACUACGUG